rnacentral:rRNA from 1 species
AUUGAACGCUGGCGGCAUGCCUUACACAUGCAAGUCGAACGGUAACAGGUCUUCGGAUGCUGACGAGUGGCGAACGGGUGAGUAAUACAUCGGAACGUGCCCGAUCGUGGGGGAUAACUACUCGAAAGAGUAGCUAAUACCGCAUACGAUCUACGGAUGAAAGCGGGGGAUCUUCGGACCUCGUGCGGACGGAGCGGCCGAUGGCAGAUUAGGUAGUUGGUGGGAUAAAAGCUUACCAAGCCGACGAUCUGUAGCUGGUCUGAGAGGACGACCAGCCACACUGGGACUGAGACACGGCCCAGACUCCUACGGGAGGCAGCAGUGGGGAAUUUUGGACAAUGGGCGAAAGCCUGAUCCAGCAACGCCGCGUGCAGGAUGAAGGCCUUCGGGUUGUAAACUGCUUUUGUACGGAACGAAAAGACUCCUUCUAAUACAGGGGGUCCAUGACGGUACCGUAAGAAUAAGCACCGGCUAACUACGUGCCAGCCGCCGCGGUAACAC